UACGUAGGCAGCAAGCGUUGUUCGGAGUUACUGGGCGUAAAGGGUGUGUAGGCGGUUCCUUAAGUUUGCUGUGAAAUCUCCCGGCUUAACCGGGAGGGUGCGGUGAAUACUGAGGGACUAGAGUACGGGAGAGGAAAGUGGAAUUCCUGGUGUAGCGGUGAAAUGCGUAGAUAUCUGCAGGAACACCCGUGGCGAAAGCGGCGCGCUGGAUCACAACUGACGCUGAGGAACGAAAGCUAGGGGAGCAAACAGG
rnacentral:rRNA from 1 species